UUACUCUCAUAAUGUCCAGUACUGGGCUGUGAUCACCCCUGAGGAUAAGUACCCCCAGGACCUUUGAUACCUGGGGGUCUGAGGGGCCC
rnacentral:snoRNA from 1 species